CUACGGGUCGCUGCAGUGGGGGAUAUUGCACAAUGGAGGAAACUCUGAUGCAGCAACGCCGCGUGGAGGAUGACACUUUUCGGAGCGUAAACUCCUUUUAUAUAGGAAGAAGAUGACGGUACUAUAUGAAUAAGCGCCGGCUAACUCCGUGCCAGCAGCCGCGGUAAUACGGAGGGCGCAAGCGUUACUCGGAAUCACUGGGCGUAAAGAGCGUGUAGGCGGAUUAAAAAGUCAGAAGUGAAAUCCUAUAGCUUAACUAUAGAACUGCUUCUGAAACUCUUAAUCUAGAAUAUGGGAGAGGUAGAUGGAAUUUCUGGUGUAGGGGUAAAAUCCGUAGAGAUCAGAAGGAAUACCGAUUGCGAAGGCGAUCUACUAGAACAUUAUUGACGCUGAGACGCGAAAGCGUGGGGAGCAAACAGGAUUAGAUACCCUAGUAGUU
rnacentral:rRNA from 1 species